rnacentral:siRNA from 1 species
GACAUCUUCACCAAAUCUCUGCCU